rnacentral:lncRNA from 1 species
UGAGGUCACAUCAUCCCCAGCCUCACACUUCUGACCCCUUCUCUUCAUGACGUGCUCCACUCAUUCUGUCUCAGCUGAGCCUUGCACACUUUACUCUUGCUCUUCUACCAAAAGCUGAACUCAGGAAAUUUUCAGGAAUUUGGUUAUACGCCCAGAAGAUACUGAGCUGGUACCGAAUUAACAGUUCUUAGAAUGAACUUCCGCUUGAUCUCAGGAUAGCAGCCUAAGCAGAAGGAGGAGGAAAUCUGGGGCAAAUGAUUACAAUAGCAGGAACUGUAAGAUAAAAUUUGAUGCUAUCUUUUCAGCACUCAACCAAUUCAGAGGUGAUGGAAUAGGGACCCAGGGUUUUCCAGAAACCAAGAGUAAUUCUAAAAGGCAAGACCUUAAGGGACAUCCUCUUCUUUGGCCGUCAAAGCAACCGGAGCUGUCACUGGGAUUAGCAGACAGAGGAUCAUGACGAUUGGGACUGUGGUGCUUGAGACUGAUGUGGGGUGCACCCAGCAAGAAGAUACCAAGUAGCCCCAGAUGGAGGAUGAAGGCAGUUCUCCACCUGCGCUCCCAGGAUCGUCACGUACAGCAGCAGCAGCACUUGGGAACUUGUUAGAAACAUUUCCUUUUUAAAUUAAGAUAAAAACUUUAUGUAAUGGGAAUUAUGUGUGUGGUUUAAAUAAAAAACUCAUAAUAACCAA